ACGCGGAGAGCAUAAUUCUUUGUGAAUGUUGGUACGCGGAGAGCAUAAUUCUUUGUGAAUGUUGGUACGCAGAGAGCGUAAUACUUUCUGAAUGUUGGUACGCGGCGAGCGCAAUUCUUUCUGAAUGUUGGUAUGUGGAGAGCGCAAUACUUUCUGAGGUGGUACGUAGAGAGCGUAAUACUUUCUGAGGUGGUACGUGGAGAGCGUAAUACUUUCUGAAUGUUGGUACGCGGAGAGCGUAAUACUUUCUGAGGCAGUAUGCGGUAUAAAAAGUUUGUGAACCACUGCUUUAGAGGUUUUUGAGGACAUGUUUUUAAACUGUCACAUGUGACCAACCUGAAGUCCUGGGGAUCGCUGGAGCGCCUCAGACUUGUCAGCACCAACCAGAAUCUCGGGGGGGCGACUGACUAUCACCACGCUCUCACUACACUCCACGGCGCAACCGAGAAACUGAGGUUGGUGCCCCAUCCUCGAUUGUUCCCUGCCUUGUGCCUACAGUCUUUGGGACAGGUUCCGAAUCCCCUGUGACCCUAAACAGGAUAAGGAGAUACUGAAGAUGGAUGUAUGAAUGGAUGGAAGACAGACUGGCACCUCAUCCUGGACUCUCUCUGUUUUACUUCCUACCCUCCCUGGUUGGCAUCCAGGCUUAUCCAAACCCUAUACUGGAUAAGCAAUUACAAAGGACUGAUGGACAAAUCACUGACAUUUCAAAUGAUUAUGCGCUGGUUCUCAUUACUGCUCUGUCUGUAAAACAAAUGCUGAAUAUCAAUACUGUGCGUUUAAAAUAGCAGCUUACAUUUUAUAUUCCUCAGUACCAUUUGAUCAAAGAUGACUUUUUCAGCACCAACGCGAGUGUCUGGCUUUAAUUUAAUUAGUUCUCUCUCAGCGGAAGCGGUGCCAGCAGGAAGUUGAAAGGUUUCAGUGGGAAACCCGGAAUACAUCCACCUUUUGAUUAAAAGGGGAACAUUUUAAUCAGCAGUGACUCAUUUUAAAGAAAUAUUGGAUCAUAAAUGUAUACAAUAUUUUUAUGAAU